GAUUAACGCUGGCGGCGUGCAUAACACAUGCAAGUCGAACGAUGAAACUUAAAUGAUUUCUUCGGAAUGAACUUAAGUGGCUUAGUGGCGGACGGGUGAGUAACGCGUGAUUAACCUGCCUUACACAAGGGGAUAGCCGUUGGAAACGACGAAUAAUACCCUAUGAUGUUUCUAUCUCGCAUGAGAUAUUAACCAAAGUGUUAGCGGUGUAAGAUGGACUUGCGUCUGAUUAGCUAGUUGGUGAGAAAAAAGCCCACCAAGGCAACGAUCAGUAGCCGGCUUGAGAGAGUGUACGGCCACAUUGGGACUGAGACAAGGCCCAGACUCCUACGGGAGGCAGCAGUGGGGAAUUUUGCACAAUGGGGGAAACCCUGAUGCAGCGACGCCGCGUGAUUUAGAAGGCCUUCGGGUUGUAAAAAUCUUUUGUAUAGGAAGAAAAUGACAGUACUAUACGAAUAAGGUCCGGCUAAUUACGUG
rnacentral:rRNA from 1 species